ACUAUAAUGGUAAAAUUAUAGAACACGAAGUAAUUUGAGCUAAUUAUUAUUGACUAUUAGCUUCAAGAACAAGGUGUGUAGCAUAAUACCUAGAAAAAUAAUAAUUAGGGGUGACAGGCCAAGCAAAAAUUAAGAUAUCUUGAUCUUAGGGAAAUUCAUUUAGUGUAGACGUCGGUUUUGGAGUGACUAGGCUCUAAAAGUAAAUUAAAAUUUAAGGGAAAUUUUUAUAGAUUUAAUAGUCGGUAAUACCUAAACAGAAUACUAAAGUAUUAAAUUUUAUUUAUUUUUACCAAAGGUGUUAAACUUUUAUAUAAUUCAUAAUGUUAAUAUGAGUAAAUCUAUAGGCUAAUAUAAUGAACUCGGCAAAUAUUCUCUCGACUGUUUACCAAAAACAUAACUGUGUGAAAUUACAUGCAGCGCUUUCUGCUCAAUGAUACUUAAAUAGCCGCAGUACCUUGACUGUGCAAAGGUAGCAUAAUCAGUUGGCUUAUAAUUGAAGUCUAGUAUGAAUGAAUAUACGGGGGGAUACUGUAUCAUAGUAGUAAAUUGAAAUUAUUUAAUAAGUGAAAAAGCUUAUACUUAAAUAAAAGACGAGAAGACCCUAGAAAUUUAAAUUAUAUUUUGUUGGGGCAACAUAGUAGCACAUUAAUCUACAAUAAUUAUAUAUGAAUCAUAUUAGAAGUAAGAUCAAAUUACUCUAGGGAUAACAGCAUAAUUCUAAAGAGUUUGUGACCUCGAUGUUGGACUAGGAAAUUUUAGUUUAGAAGACGUAAAAUA
rnacentral:rRNA from 1 species